CAGGGGCUCGUGGAAGAAGUGGAUAUUGAAGUACUUAUCACACAAAGGAGGAUAAAAGUACGAUAGCGAUAUCUACCACGAAGCUGUUGUUCCACACCAGAACCAAAUGAGCGCAAGAUCUGACAAAAAAAAAAGGUUCAUCUUUUAUUCUUCCAAACACUUUCAUUUAAAUCAAGAGGAUGGGAUGUGGUUAUUACUGUGUUUUUAGACAAAAUCAAUGGUUUCUGGCUCUGAGAUGUUGCAUACACCCUCUCAGUCCCUGUAUCCUGAGAUGGAGUCACCUGAGAAUCCACAGCAAGUCCUAACCAGGGAUGGGUCUGGGUGAUUAAGGAAGAUUGGCUUCAGAACUGGGCCAGGGGCACUGCUUUGCUUUUGCUGUUUUGAUCAGCUCUCUGCCUGCAGGAGACGAGGAAAACCAAUGGGAACAGGUUAGUUAUACUCAUAAAUCCUGGGCUUAUUUUAUUAACUCACAUAAUAGCUAUUAAUUGUCUUUCCUCCAAGGAGCAAAAGGGCAUAUACGGUCAAUGUCAUAGUAAGUAACACUGUAUUAUGUUACACUAAAAUAUUAAUCUAGGUUGGUUCAGUCUUUCUUGAGUCCACAGAUUGGAAGCAGAUUGAGGAAGGACGCUAGCAGACCAU
rnacentral:lncRNA from 1 species